rnacentral:lncRNA from 1 species
AUGAGCACGAUUUAAAAAAACAAACAAAAAAAAGCACUCAAAACAAACAUCCAAAAAAAAAAACCCUGGCCAAUCCCUGGCCCCAGUUCUCUUCUUGUUUGUUUGUAUUUUUCAACCUGGAGACAUUGCAGAGUAUGUAAUGCUGGAACACCACAUCUUUGAAAAAUGGUCCAGAGACCAAAUUUACAGGGUUUGAACCAUAUCCUCUUGAUAUGUAAAGUCAAGUCCUUGCCAACAUUGGAGUUCCCAUGAA